rnacentral:lncRNA from 1 species
AAAAAAAAAAAGAAACUUACAGGAGGGGAUGCUCCAGCAGAGGAGAAGGCCAUGUGACCCUGAAGGCAGAGACUGCAGUGAUGGGGCCACAAGUCAGGAAACACCAACAGGCUGGGCCCCAUGACUCACGCCUGUAACCACAGCACUUUGUGAGGACAGAGCAGGAGGACUGCUUGAGGCCAGGAGUUUGAGACCAGCCUGGGCUACACAGGCAGACCCUGUCUCUAAUUAAAUUAAAAAAAAAAAAAGAUGAAAAAAGAAAAAAGAAACACCAGCCACCAGAAGCCAAAAGAUGCAACUAACAGGUUCCCCACUAGAGGCUCCAGAGGAAGGGCCCCUCUACUGACACCGUGAUCCCAGACGUCUGUCCUCCAGAGCCAGAGGAAGGGCCACUCUGCUGACACCGUGAUCCCAGAUGUCUGUCUUCCAGAGCCGGAGGAAGGGCCACUCUGUGACACCGCGAGCCCAGACGUCUGUCCUCCAGAGCCGGAGGAAGGGCCACUCUGCUGACACCGCGAGCCCAGACUUCUGUCCUCCAGAGCCGGAGGAAGGGCCACUCUGUGACACCGCGAGCCCAGACUUCUGUCCUCCAGAGCUGGAGGAAGGGCCACUCUGCUGACACCGCGAGCCCGGACGUCUGUCCUCCAGAGCCGGAGGAAGGGCCACUCUGUGACACCGCGAGCCCGGACGUCUGUCCUCCAGAGCCGGAGGAAGGGCCACUCUGCUGACACCGCGAGCCCGGACGUCUGUCCUCCAGAGCCGGAGGAAGGGCCACUCUGUGACACCGCGAGCCCGGACGUCUGUCCUCCAGAGCCGGAGGAAGGGCCACUCUGCUGACACCGCGAUCCCGGACGUCUGUCCUCCAGAGCCGGAGGAAGGGCCACUCUGUGACACCGCGAGCCCGGACGUCUGUCCUCCAGAGCCGGAGGAAGGGCCACUCUGCUGACACCGCGAUCCCGGACGUCUGUCCUCCAGAGCCGGAGGAAGGGCCACUCUGUGACACCGCGAGCCCGGACGUCUGUCCUCCAGAGCCGGAGGAAGGGCCACUCUGUGACACCGCGAGCCCGGACGUCUGUCCUCCAGAGCCGGAGGAAGGGCCACUCUGCUGACACUGCGAUCCCAGACGUCUGUGCUCCAGAGCCGGAGGAAGGGCCACUCUGUGACACCGCGAGCCCAGACGUCUGUCCUCCAGAGCCGGAGGAAGGGCCACUCUGCUGACACCGUGAGCCCGGACGUCUGUCUUCCAGAGCCGGAGGAAGGGCCACUCUGUGACACCGCGAGCCCGGAAGUCUGUCCUCCAGAGCCGGAGGAAGGGCCACUCUGUGACACCGUGAGCCCGGACAUCUGUCCUCCAGAGGCGGAGGAAGGGCCACUCUGCUGACACCGGGAGCCCGGACGUCUGUCCUCCAGAGCCGGAGGAAGGGCCACUCUGUGACACAGCGAGCCCGGACGUCUGUCCUCCAGAGCCGGAGGAAGGGCCACUCUGCUGACACCGCGAUCCCGGACGUCUGUCCUCCAGAGCCGGAGGAAGGGCCCCUCUGCUGACACCGUGAGCCCGGACGUCUGUCCUCCAGAGCCGGAGGAAGGGCCCCUCUGUGACACCGCGAGCCCGGACGUCUGUCCUCCAGAGCCGGAGGAAGGGCCACUCUGCUGACACCGGGAUCCCGGACGUCUGUCCUCCAGAGGCGGAGGAAGGGCCACUCUGUGACACCGCGAUCCCGGACGUCUGUCCUCCAGAGGCAGAGGAAGGGCCACUCUGUGACACCACGAGCCCGGACGUGUGUCCUCCAGAGCCGGAGGAAGGGCCACUCUGCUGACACCGCGAGCCCGGACGUCUGUCCUCCAGAGCCGGAGGAAGGGCCCCUCUGCUGACACCGCGAGCCCGGACGUCUGUCCUCCAGAGCCGGAGGAAGGGCCCCUCUGUGACACCGCGAGCCCGGACGUCUGUCCUCCAGAGCCGGAGGAAGGGCCCCUCUGUGACACCGCGAGCCCGGACGUCUGUCCUCCAGAGCCGGAGGAAGGGCCACUCUGCUGACACCGCGAGCCCGGACGUCUGUCCUCCAGAGCCGGAGGAAGGGCCACUCUGCUGACACCGCGAGCCCGGACGUCUGUCCUCCAGAGGCGGAGGAAGGGCCACUCUGCUGACACCGCGAGCCCGGACGUCUGUCCUCCAGAGGCGGAGGAAGGGCCACUCUGCUGACACCGCGAGCUCGGACGUCUGUCCUCCAGAGGCGGAGGAAGGGCCACUCUGCUGACACCGCGAGCUCGGACGUCUGUCCUCCAGAGCCGGAGGAAGGGCCCCUCUGUGACACCGCGAGCCCGGACGUCUGUCCUCCAGAGCCGGAGGAAGGGACCCUCUGCUGACACCGCGAGCCCGGACGUCUGUCCUCCAGAGCCGGAGGAAGGGCCACUCUGUGACACCGCGAGCCCGGACGUCUGUCCUCCAGAGCCGGAGGAAGGGCCCCUCUGUGACACCGCGAGCCCGGACGUCUGUCCUCCAGAGCCGGAGGAAGGGCCCCUCUGUGACACCGCGAGCCCGGACGUCUGUCCUCCAGAGCCGGAGGAAGGGCCACUCUGUGACACCGUGAGCCGGACGUCUGUCCUCCGGAGCCGGAGGAAGGGCCACUUGUGACACCGUGAGCCCGGACGUCUGUCCUCCAGAGCCGGAGGAAGGGCCACUCUGUGAC